AUAUAAAUUGUAGACUUCUGGUUUACCCCAUAUAUUAAUGUUAGUCCUUUUUUAUGGUGAUUGCUGUUUUUUUUUAUGCAUCACUGAAACAAACCGGACUGUUCAACUGGAAAGUGUGCUCAGUGAAAUAAACAUUUUUUUAAUUUCUUUUGAGCCUUACCAAGAUGUGGAAAAGAACCAGAAAAGACUCUUGGUACUAUGUACCACUAAUGUUUUCUGACAUGUAUGUGUACUUAAUCUAUAAUAUAUUUAAAUUGUGUUUGAUUUAAAUACAUAUAUUAUGAAAUGUUUUGUCUGCCCUCAUUUUUUUUGUUGACGUAUCUCAGCUGAAGUGUUGGUACAUUAUCGUGGUUUCAGGCCACUGCAGGCUGUGGUUAUUUUGAUGUAGAAGCUGUGUGAUGUUUACAGGGGGAUUGGUUUUCUUUUAAAAAUCAUUUUCAAAUCAGUAUUGUAGUUGAAAUGUGGGCAGAGUGACAGCUCGGCCCAUGUCAGCAGCUUUACAGUGGACUAUUAUCUCCUCUGACCAUGUGGGGGCAGUGUUGACUGUAGUGCUAUGUUAGGGUAAAACGGAAAAGGACACAGGUCACGCGGUGUGUUAUUUCAGACAUAAGAAUGAGUGUCUACUUUCUUCUCUCAUACCAGAUCUACAGAUUCAGAAAAAAUCCACAAAUUGUAAAAUACAACUCAUCUCAAAGGGCUCGCAGUCACCUUGGCGCAUUACUACGUGCUGCGUGAAGUCCCACGAGCUCAUCGUGGUUUCCAGACUGAGGCUAUACCUCCACGUGCAGAGGCAACGCCCACCUCCAUACAAGCCAGCCGCAGUCCUGGACUCUGAUUGGCUGAGAUGUUGACACGGACUCGUAUCUGUGUGAAACAAUUAAUACACCAAUGUUGACUUUAACUGUACAUGUCGAUGCUCAGAAGUAUUUUGUUUUGCGCAGAAUAACAUUUUCAUCCAGAUUAAAAACGUUGAAUUCA